AGAACGAACGCUGGCGGCAGGCUUAACACAUGCAAGUCGAGCGCUGUAGCAAUACAGAGCGGCAGACGGGUGAGUAACGCGUGGGAACAUACCCCAAGGUUCGGAAUAACUCAGGGAAACUUGAGCUAAUACCGGAUAUCUCCGAGAGGAGAAAGAUUUAUCGCCUUGGGAUUGGCCCGCGUUCGAUUAGCUAGUUGGUGUGGUAAUGGCGCACCAAGGCGACGAUCGAUAGCUGGUCUGAGAGGAUGAUCAGCCACAUUGGGACUGAGACACGGCCCAAACUCCUACGGGAGGCAGCAGUGGGGAAUAUUGGACAAUGGGCGCAAGCCUGAUCCAGCCAUGCCGCGUGAGUGAUGACGGCCUUAGGGUUGUAAAGCUCUUUCACCCACGACGAUAAUGACGGUAGUGGGAGAAGACGCCCGGCUAACGUUCGCGCCAGCACGCCGC
rnacentral:rRNA from 1 species